AGACACAGACACAGACACACACAGCUGAUCAGCCAACCUGAUACGUCACAUCAUGGACCGCUACAACUAAAGACUACGCACACACACACACACGCGUGCACACACACGCCAAACAAAGUUCCUGCAAACACGUUGACAGAGAUGAACCUGCUGACAGCAUCGAUUAUGUACUGGAAAGUGGACUAACGCAUGCUAAGCUAAGCUAAGCUAAGCUAACAAAGUAAAAAAGAACACGGUUUACCGUCAUCAAACCACAAAGCGCCACCGAUUUGCUUCAUGGAAGCCUUACAUUUUGACUUCUUUUUUGGAGCAUUUGGAGCAUCCCCAUGCAACACAGCAAACCAUGGUGGUGACAACAUGGAAAGACACAACGUCGAUUUCAGACAAAGUUCAGGACACGUCAUCAUUAAAGCUCCCGUUUAUGUUUCCAGCUUCUUCUUUUCUGUAAAGUCUGUUUUUAAAACUGUUACCUGAC
rnacentral:lncRNA from 1 species